rnacentral:rRNA from 1 species
GAUGAACGCUAGCGGCAGGCUUAAUACAUGCAAGUCGAGGGGCAGCAUGAUUGUAGCAAUACAAUUGAUGGCGACCGGCAAACGGGUGCGGAACACGUACACAACCUUCCAAUAAGUGGGGAAUAGCCCAGAGAAAUUUGGAUUAAUACCCCGUAACAUAACGAUGUGGCAUCACAUUGUUAUUAUAGGUUUUUCGCUUAUUGAUGGGUGUGCGGCUGAUUAGAUAGUUGGCGGGGUAACGGCCCACCAAGUCUACGAUCAGUAGCUGAUGUGAGAGCAUGAUCAGCCACACGGGCACUGAGACACGGGCCCGACUCCUACGGGAGGCAGCAGUAAGGAAUAUUGGACAAUGGACGCAAGUCUGAUCCAGCCAUGCCGCGUGAAGGAUUAAGGUCCUCUGGAUUGUAAACUUCUUUUAUAAGGGACGAAAAAAGGCUUUUCUAAGUCGUCUGACGGUACCUUAUGAAUAAGCACCGGCUAACUCCGUGCCAGCCGCCGCAGUAA